rnacentral:rRNA from 1 species
UACGGAGGUUGCAAGCGUUGUUCGGAAUGACUGGGCGUAAAGGGAGCGCAGGCGGCUGUUUAAGUCUGGAGUGAAAGCCCGGGGCUCAACCCCGGCGGGUCUUCGGAUACUGGACAGCUAGAGUACGGAAGAGGAAAGCGGAAUUCCAGGUGUAGCGGUGAAAUGCGUAGAUAUCUGGAGGAACACCGGUGGCGAAAGCGGCUUUCUGGUCCGAUACUGACGCUCAGGCUCGAAAGCGUGGGGAGCAAACGGG